AUUGAACGCUGGCGGCAGGCCUAACACAUGCAAGUCGAACGAGUGGCGGACGGGUGAGUAAUGUCUGGGAAUCUGGCCUAUGGAGGGGGAUAACUACUGGAAACUGUAGCUAAUACCGCAUACCAUCGGAUGUGCCCAGAUGGGAUUAGUUAGUUGGUGGGGUAACGGCUCACCUAGCCGACGAUCCCUAGCUGGUCUGAGAGGAUGACCAGCCACACUGGAACUGAGACACGGUCCAGACUCCUACGGGAGGCAGCAGUGGGGAAUAUUGCACAAUGGGCGCAAGCCUGAUGCAGCCAUGCCGCGUGUAUGAAGAAGGCCUUCGGGUUGUAAAGUACUUUCAGCGAGGAGGCGUUACUCGCAGAGGAAGCACCGGCUAACUCCGUGCCAGCAGCCGCGGUAAUUC
rnacentral:rRNA from 1 species